rnacentral:rRNA from 1 species
UGGGGAAUCUUGGACAAUGGGCGCAAGCCUGAUCCAGCCAUGCCGCGUGGAUGAUGAAGGCCCUAGGGUUGUAAAAUCCUUUCGUCAGGGACGAUAAUGACGGUACCUGAAGAAGAAGCCCCGGCUAACUUCGUGCCAGCAGCCGCGGUAAUACGAAGGGGGCUAGCGUUGUUCGGAAUUACUGGGCGUAAAGCGCGUGUAGGCGGGUCGUUAAGUCGGGGGUGAAAGCCCAGAGCUCAACUCUGGAACUGCCUUCGAUACUGGCGAUCUGGACCCAAGGAGAGGCGAGUGGAAUUGCGAGUGUAGAGGUGAAAUUCGUAGAUAUUCGCAGGAACACCAGUGGCGAAGGCGACUCGCUGGACUUGUGGUGACGCUGAGACGCGAAAGCGUGGGGAGCAAA